AAGACUACAGACUACACCCCAGCUGAACCAAUCCAAAGAUCCGAUCUUCCAGAAUCAACCUACUUUCUGUUCUAUAUAUAAGUGGUGUAUUGAUUGUAACGGUCUCUUUGCCUGCAGUUCCGUACGAACUAGCGGAGGAGCCGUAUUACGCUGUUCUAGAUAUCUUCACUCUGAAUAAACUGUCGCUUGUCAUACAAUUUACCACCUUGUCUGAAUCGAUCCUUGACCGACUCGCCCGUCUACAUAUCUAAUUUCUAACAGAACUUGGUAGGCAGAGGAUGGUUUACUAACGAUCCAGUCGAAGUGAGUUGAUUUGGGUGUGAGAAGGCGAGUUGGUGAAAGGACGGUUCACGGAGGACGGGUGAAGACUUUCGGGGGAGGACAACAAUUCUGCUCAACUCGGAAAACUGAUCUCAAGGUGCACCAUAAAAAAGCUCUUUCCAAACAGAUACACAAAGUCCAUGGGGGGGAGCUGACGGGAGAUCCAGAGCAACCAAGGGUAAAGGUCGGAGACUGGGUAAGGAUCAUGGUCCACAAGAGAAAGUGGCAGGAUCCCAGGUGGACUGGACCGUACGAAGUGAAGGAGGUUACUUCACACUCGGUCCAGGUCAAAGGUAAAUCAGGGGCGCCUUGGCACCACUUGACUCAUUGUGCACCAGCUUCGAUACCCAAUAGAACACUGACAGAGGUCAGGGUCGACUUGAGCGACUUGAAUUCGGCUCCAAUACAACCCGAUUAGCAGGUGACGAUGUGGACCAGACUCCCAUCAGCAUCGGCUAAUAGGCCUCCUAGAGACAGGGGUUAUCCCUGGACUAGACUGGGCAUAUCUGGCCCCGGUUUAUUCGUGUGUUUGUAAAUGCAUAUGUCUACUGAAUGAUAAAUUGAACGAAUGUUUAGACAAUGUUUUAGAUGUGUUGACUAUAUUGAGUGAAUGUUCAAACAAUGUUUUAGAUGUGCUCUGGCGUAAAUGAAGAUUUGUGAGACUCAAAUCGUGUGCAUGAAAUAUGCUUGAUAUUCAGUCGGGGACUAAUAUCGGUAUGAAUGAGGUCGGGGACCAAGCGAGUGUGGUACAUUAGGUAUUUCAGUUGGAGCUGGUACCGGUGAGUGUUGAAAAAGUCGCAGGCUUGCUGAUGAGAGUUAUAUCAUAGAAUAUUGAGGGGGUGUGCAUGACUGUUGGGAAAAAAAAAAAAGUGUUCAACUCUAUUAACGUGAAAUUCUUUUUGUAGAUUUGGGGAGACAAUUUGGAGAAACACGAAUAAGACAUGAAACAUCGA